CUGCCACCCAGAUAAGAAGCACGGUGCUAAGGCCCACAGGUUGCACAACCAACCACUUUGUUGUCAACCUAGGGAAGAGACAUGACUUUCCCGCCACUAUGGUCAGAAACGGAUUUCAUUUCUGCCUCAUCUCCUCCUCUCCCUAUCCUAUUUUUAGUGCUCAGAUCCUGAGGCUUGGCCAAAGACGUAGAAGCCCCAGGCUGAAUAAAAUCUUGGGGACCAGAACGCCAUCAAAUACACGUGUACAAAGUGGCGCUGAACUCCUACUUCUCCAGGCUGUCACACACCCCAGCUGAGAGCCAUGGGUGAGGCCCCAGUGUCUCUGUCUGAUUUGGAGUUUUCCACUUCACCUAUGUCCUCUCUGAGAAAGCUGUACUUCCUAGACGGUGCUCGGCUGGGAGGCUGGUGGCCUCAGGGCUUCACCCUUACCCAUCCUGGUGGGGACAGCCUCUCAGAUGUGCUGCUGUUGCUGAAUUUGAACAGGUGUGGCCCAGGGCGGAACUCUCAGGAUGACCUCUUUGGCUCUGCUAUGCAUGUCUAAUUCCCAGACCCCCUCAACUGAUCAUCUCUCUGUCUUACCACCCAUCUCUUCUUUCCUCCCAGUCACCACCAGUUGCUUAUCAAUAAUUCGAAACUGUCUUUUGUGACAGAGAAAACUGUCCUUUGGGUCAGCAGUUUAAUUUGAAGUGAAUGACGCCAAGAACUAAAACCGAGACACAAACCAAGCAAGAGAGUGAGUGUUGAUAAUGGAGGAGUUCACUGGUGACUCGUAUGAGAUUCCUGGAGACCCAUCCCCACUAUGGAGCUGUGAAGAAAACAAAUACCUCUCACUGUCCCGUCCCCUGCUCUUUGCUCCCUCCUGCUUGGCUUUUCCAUUCCACACCAAGGCUCUCAGUGCACCAAGGGCACUGACUGGAGCGUUCCCAAGGAGGCCUAUUUGAGCCAUCGUAGUACCUUGUCAAGAUCAAGUAGAUGAGCAUUUGUUGACUAAGAGGAUCGUCCAAUGGCAUGGAAGCAGGAGUCAAGGACAAUCUCCAUUUCUAAUUAACUAAGGCACAAUGAAGAGGUGCGGACAGACAGGUAAGGAAUCCAAGCCUCAGUUCCCCAGCAUUCCAGCGUGAACUGCGGAGUUGUCUGCACUUAGGGACAGGACUGGAAGGAGGAUGGUGUCCAAGACUGAAAUGGGGAAGUGAUGAAAACUGUUGGGUGUCAGAGGAGGGGGAAGAGCGAGAGAGAGUGCUCGAGAGACUGGGAGGAGAGGGUUCAACACUAGCAAGACCAGAUGGAUUACUUUAGGGGAUUAAAGGGGGUCACUGAGAAGGGAUGGCAUAUGGUCCUGGGAAGCAGAGGUGGAGGACUGGGAACUUGGAAGGGAACAGGAAAUAAACAUCUCAUACAGAUGA